AUCCUUUUGUAGUUCAUGAACGUGAUGGCUGGGUGUUCAUGCACAUGUGUGAGAGGUGCCACCCUCUGAAUCUUGUUAUGACAUCAGCAUCUGACCUGAAAAAAA
rnacentral:snoRNA from 10 species